rnacentral:sRNA from 1 species
AUUGUGGCUAAACACACCUCUGCACUGUGUAACAGCUGUCGCCUGGCCUCUGCCCGUACCACCAAUCCUACCGCCAAGCGCCAGUUUGUACAGUCAGCCAAGGAGCUGGGCCAUGGCUGUGCCGCUCUGGUCACCAAGGCAGGCGCCCUGCAGUGCAGCCCCAGUGAUGCCUACACCAAGAAGGAGCUCAUAGAGUGUGCCCGGAGAGUCUCUGAGAAGGUCUCCCACGUCCUGGCUGCGCUCCAGGCUGGGAAUCGUGGCACCCAGGCCUGCAUCACAGCAGCCAGCGCUGUGUCUGGUAUUAUUGCUGACCUCGACACCACCAUCAUGUUCGCCACUGCUGGCACGCUCAAUCGCGAGGGUACUGAAACUUUCGCUGACCACCGGGAGGGCAUCCUGAAGACUGCGAAGGUGCUGGUGGAGGACACCAAAGUCCUGGUGCAAAACGCAGCUGGGAGCCAGGAGAAGUUGGCGCAGGCUGCCCAGUCCUCCGUGGCGACCAUCACCCGCCUCGCUGAUGUGGUCAAGCUGGGUGCAGCCAGCCUGGGAGCUGAGGACCCUGAGACCCAGGUGGUACUAAUCAACGCGGUGAAAGAUGUAGCCAAGGCCCUGGGAGACCUCAUCAGUGCAACGAAGGCUGCAGCUGGCAAAGUUGGAGAUGACCCUGCUGUGUGGCAGCUAAAGAACUCUGCCAAGGUAAUGGUGACCAAUGUGACAUCAUUGCUUAAAACAGUAAAAGCCGUGGAAGAUGAGGCCACCAAAGGCACUCGGGCCCUGGAGGCAACCACAGAACACAUACGGCAGGAACUGGCGG